GUAGGGAAUAUUGCACAAUGGAGGAAACUCUGAUGCAGCGACGCCGCGUGAGUGAUGAAGGCCUUCGGGUCGUAAAACUCUGUGAUAAGGGAAGAUGAUGACGGUACCUUAUCAGAAAAGACCGGCUAACUUCGUGCCAGCAGCCGCGGCAAUACGAGGGGUCUAAGCGUUGUUCGUAAUCACUGGGCGUAAAGCGGGUGUAGGUGGCUAUGCAAGUUGGAUGUGAAAGCCACGGGCUCAACCCGGGAAGUGCAUCCAAAAAUACGUAGCUUGAGUGCGGGAGAGAAAGGCAAAAUUCCUGGUGUAGUGGUGAAAUACGUAGAUAUCAGGAGGAACUCCGGUGGCGAAGGCGGCCUUUUGGCGCAGCACUGACACUCAGACCCGAAAGCGUGGGUAGCAAACAGGAUUAGAAACCCUGGUAGUCC
rnacentral:rRNA from 1 species